rnacentral:rRNA from 1 species
UACGUAGGCAGCAAGCGUUGUUCGGAAUUACUGGGCGUAAAGGGCGCGCAGGCGGCUCUGAAAGUCAGAUGUGAAAGCCCCGGGCUUAACCUGGGAACUGCAUUUGAUACUCUAGAGCUUGAGUACGGGAGAGGAGAGUGGAAUUCCCAGUGUAGAGGUGAAAUUCGUAGAUAUUGGGAAGAACACCGGUGGCGAAGGCGGCUCUCUGGACCGUAACUGACGCUGAGGCGCGAAAGCGUGGGGAGCAAACAGG